GGCUCAUUGGCCUAGAGGUAUGAUUCUCACUUUGGGUGUGAGAGGUCUCAGGUUCGAAUCUCGGAUGAGCCC
rnacentral:tRNA from 1 species